rnacentral:rRNA from 1 species
UACGUAGGGGGCAAGCGUUGUCCGGAAUUAUUGGGCGUAAAGAGCGCGUAGGCGGUCCGAUAAGUCGGCUGUGAAAGUCAGGGGCUCAACCCUUGAAAGCCGGCCGAUACUGUCGGACUAGAGUCCGGAAGAGGCAAGUGGAAUUCCCGGUGUAGCGGUGAAAUGCGCAGAUAUCGGGAGGAACACCAAUGGCGAAGGCAGCUCACUGGACCGGAACUGACGCUGAGGUGCGAAAGCGUGGGGAGCAAACAGG